GGUGGGUGUGCGACGCUAGCAGCCAAAGCCGGCGCUCUGGGAUCUGGCAUUGGUGACAACCACGCCGCACUUUGCACGCUCAGGGACAGACUGCUGCAGCGAGCCUGCUAGAGGAAUCUGGGGUAUGUACGUGGGCAUGUGCAUGCCACAGCCACAUGUGGAGGCCAGAGACCAACUUUUGGAAGUCAGUUCUCUUCUGCCACCACAUGAUCCCAGGUACAGAAUUUGGCUCAUUUGGCUUGGCUGCAGACACUUUUACCAACCAACUGGACCAUCUUGCCAACCAAGAACCAGCAUGUUACAAAAAAAUAGUCUCUGUUUGGUUUUCAAGACAGAGGCUCACACUAGUCCAAGCCGGCCGAGAAUUCACUGUUUAACACAGGCUGACUAAAUACGCAGCUGUCCUUCCAGCUCAGCCCCGGACACUGAGGCAGCAGGUGUGUGCCACAGUGCCAGGCUGGUACUAGUUUUGCACAGUGACAGUGAUUUCCCAGGGCCUCAGAGCCAAUAAAGGUGGAUAUGAUUCCAAA